rnacentral:rRNA from 1 species
UUAGUAGCAAUACUAACUGAGUGGCGAACGGGUGAGUAACACGUGGGUGACCUACCUUCGAGUGGGGGAUAACGUCCCGAAAGGGACGCUAAUACCGCAUAACAUCCUGCCUUUGAACAGGCGGAGAUCAAAGCCGGGGAUCGCAAGACCUGGCGCUUGAUGAGGGGCCCGCGUCUGAUUAGCUAGUUGGUGAGGUAACGGCCCACCAAGGCGACGAUCAGUAUCCGGCCUGAGAGGGCGGACGGACACACUGGGACUGAGACACGGCCCAGACUCCUACGGGAGGCAGCAGUGGGGAAUUGUUCACAAUGGGCGCAAGCCUGAUGACGCAACGCCGCGUGGAGGAUGAAGGUCUUCGGAUUGUAAACUCCUGUUGCUCGGGACGAAAAGCCUCGACCUAAUACGUCGAGGUCUGACGGUACCGAGUGAGGAAGCCCCGGCUAACUCUGUGCCAGCAGCCGCGGUAAUACAGAGGGGGCAAGCGUUGUUCGGAAUUACUGGGCGUAAAGGGCGCGUAGGCGGCCCGCUAAGUCGAACGUGAAAUCCCCGAGCUCAACUCGGGAACUGCGUCCGAUACUGGUGGGCUUGAAUCCGGGAGAGGGAUGCGGAAUUCCAGGUGUAGCGGUGAAAUGCGUAGAUAUCUGGAGGAACACCGGUGGCGAAGGCGGCAUCCUGGACCGGCAUUGACGCUGAGGCGCGAAAGCUAGGGGAGCAAACGGGAUUAGAUACCCCGGUAGUCCUAGCCCUAAACGAUGAAUGCUUGGUGUGGCGGGUAUCGAUCCCUGCCGUGCCGAAGCUAACGCAUU